ensembl:snoRNA
GGCCUCCCAGUGCUUACCACAGGCUGUGUUCUUUACACUGACUGUAUAGAAAGAGGAGGUAUAGUAACCCACCCCAUAUACACCCCAGCCCAGGCCUCUGCCUGGUCUGUAUUGUGAAUGGGGUGACAUGG